rnacentral:rRNA from 1 species
CAGCAGCCGCGGUAAUACGUAGGUGGCAAGCGUUGUCCGGAAUUACUGGGUGUAAAGGGCGUGUAGGCGGGAAGGCAAGUCAGAUGUGAAAGCCCAUGGCUUAACUGUGGAAUUGCAUCUGAAACUGUUUUUCUUGAGUGCUGGAGAGGAAAGUGGAAUUCCUAGUGUAGCGGUGAAAUGCGUAGAGAUUAGGAGGAACACCAGUGGCGAAGGCGGCUUUCUGGACAGUAACUGACGCUGAGGCGCGAAAGCGUGGGGAGCAAACAGGAUUAGAUACCCUGGUAGUCCACGCUGUAAACGAUGGAUACUAGGUGUGGGAGGUAUCGACCCCUUCCGUGCCGGAGUUAACACAAUAAGUAUCCCACCUGGGGAGUACGGCCGCAAGGCUGAAACUCAAAGGAAUUGACGGGGGCCCGCACAAGCAGUGGAGUAUGUGGUUUAAUUCGAAGCAACGCGAAGAACCUUACCAGGGCUUGACAUACCGAUGACCGGGUUAGAGAUAACCCUUCCCUUCGGGGCAUCGGAUACAGGAGGUGCAUGGCC